GAUGAACGCUGGCGGCGUGCCUAACACAUGCAAGUCGAGCGGCAGCGAGGGGUGCUUGCACCCUGUCGGCGAGCGGCGGACGGCUGAGUAACGCGUGGGAACGUGCCCCAAAGUGAGGAAUAACUGCCCGAAAGGGUAGCUAAUACCGCAUAUUAUCUUCGGAUCAAAGGAUUUAUCCGCUUUGGGAGCGGCUCGCGUCGGAUUAGGUAGUUGGUGAGGUAAUGGCUCACCAAGCUGACGAUCCGUAGCUGGUCUGAGAGGAUGACCAGCCAGACUGGAACUGAGACACGGUCCAGACUCCUACGGGAGGCAGCAGUGAGGAAUCUUCCACAAUGGGCGAAAGCCUGAUGGAGCAACGCCGCGUGCAGGACGAAGGCCUUCGGGUUGUAAACUGCUUUUAUAAGUGAGGAAUAUGACGGUAACUUAUGAAUAAGGAUCGGCUAACUACGUG
rnacentral:rRNA from 1 species